GAUCAUUACAGAGUUGCAAAACUCCCACAAACCAUCGCGAAUCUUACCCGUACGGUUGCCUCGGCGCUGGCGGUCCGGAAAGGCCCUCGGGCCCUCCCGGAUCCUCGGGUCUCCCGCUCGCGGGAGGCUGCCCGCCGGAGUGCCGAAACUAAACUCUUGAUAUUUUAUGUCUCUCUGAGUAAACUUUUAAAUAAGUCAAAACUUUCAACAACGGAUCUCUUGGUUCUGGCAUCGAUGAAGAACGCAGCGAAAUGCGAUAAGUAAUGUGAAUUGCAGAAUUCAGUGAAUCAUCGAAUCUUUGAACGCACAUUGCGCUCGCCAGUAUUCUGGCGAGCAUGCCUGUUCGAGCGUCAUUUCAACCAUCAAGCUCUGCUUGCGUUGGGGAUCCGCGGCUGCCCGCGGUCCCUCAAAAUCAGUGGCGGGCUCGCUAGUCACACCGAGCGUAGUAACUCUACAUCGCUAUGGUCGUGCGGCGGGUUCUUGCCGUAAAACCCCCCAUUUCUAAGGUUGACCUCGGAUCAGGUAGGAAUACCCGCUGAACUUAAGCAUAUC
rnacentral:misc_RNA from 1 species